GGUAAAGUGGCUGAUAAUAGCAUUAGACUGUAAAUCUAAGAAUGAAGGUUUAAGUCCUUCUUUUGCCA
rnacentral:tRNA from 3 species